AGUGGGAUAGCUGGGUCAAAUGGUGGUUCCAUUCCAAGUUUUCUGAGGAAUCUCCACACUGCUCUCCAGAGUGGUUGUACUAAUUUAUAGCCCCACUAGCAAU
rnacentral:pre_miRNA from 1 species